rnacentral:rRNA from 1 species
CCUACGGGUGGCAGCAGUGGGGAAUAUUGGACAAUGGGGGCAACCCUGAUCCAGCCAUGCCGCGUGUGUGAAGAAGGCCCUCGGGUUGUAAGGCACUUUCAGUGAGGAAGAACGCCUGGUGGUUAAUACCCAUCAGGAAAGACAUCACUCACAGAAGAAGCACCGGCUAACUCCGUGCCAGCAGCCGCGGUAAUACGGAGGGUGCGAGCGUUAAUCGGAAUUACUGGGCGUAAAGCGCGCGUAGGUGGCUUGAUAAGCCGGUUGUGAAAGCCCCGGGCUCAACCUGGGAACGGCAUCCGGAACUGUCAAGCUAGAGUGCAGGAGAGGAAGGUAGAAUUCCCGGUGUAGCGGUGAAAUGCGUAGAGAUCGGGAGGAAUACCAGUGGCGAAGGCGGCCUUCUGGACUGACACUGACACUGAGGUGCGAAAGCGUGGGUAGCAAACAGGAUUAGAUACCCCAGUAGUC